UACAGAGGUCCCAAGCGUUGUUCGGAUUCACUGGGCGUAAAGGGUGCGUAGGCGGUCGGGUAAGUCUGGCGUGAAAUCUCCAAGCCUAACUUGGAAACGGCGUUGGAUACUAUCCGGCUCGAGGAAUGGAGGGGAGACUGGAAUACUUGGUGUAGCAGUGAAAUGCGUAGAUAUCAAGUGGAACACCAGUGGCGAAGGCGAGUCUCUGGACAUUUCCUGACGCUGAGGCACGAAAGCCAGGGGAGCAAACGGG
rnacentral:rRNA from 1 species